rnacentral:rRNA from 1 species
AUGGGCCAAAUAGCCAUCGCAACUGCUACAUCAGGUAUUGCGGCGUUGAUAAUGCAUGGAGGACGAACAACACAAUCCAGGCAGAGUGAUACAGCUGAGUUGCUUAAACAAGCGUCUUUGAUAAUUUGGGAUGAAGUCGCUAUGACAAAACGUCAAGCAGUUGAGACGCUUGAUAGAUCACUACAAGAUAUAAUGGAAAGUCGUUUGCCGUUUGGGGGAAAGGUUGUAGUCUUUGGUGGUGAUUUCAGGCAUGUCCUUCCUAUUGUGACACAUGGGACAAGAGCACAGUUUGAUCCUUGGUUCUCCAAAUACCUCAUAAGGAUCGGCAAUGGAACGGAAGAGACAAUUGGAGACGACUAUGUUCGUCUCCCUGACGACAUUGUGAUCGGCUAUACCGAGGAUGAAAAAGCUAUUAACACACUCAUCGAAGAUGUAUUCCCAUCGUUGCAUGCCAAUGCUAGAUCGAGAGAGUACAUGAGUGCACACGCAAUUCUUUCGACCAAGAACGAUCAUGUGGAUGACCUGAAUGACAAGAUGAUCUCAAGGUUUCCAGGCGAAGAAAAGUCAUACCAUAGUCAAUUGUCCGGUCAUUCUGCUCCGGAACCUCGACCCUCAUAA